AUGCUAGUUCCUAAUAAAACAAGGAGAAAAGCCUUGACUCCUUGGAGGAUAAAACUAGCAGCCGCAGGUGCUCUGGAGGAGAAAGUCCAGCUUGAGUCAGCUUCUUGGGACCAAGCUGGUGGGAACGAGAAGCUGGUCAAGCUGGAGCCUGGGCUGAAGGCGUGCGGAGGUGAUGACCGGAUCUGGGCCCUGAUUCACAAGGUCACGCACCUGUCCACACUGCAGGUGGGGUCUCUCAAUGUCAAGUGCCUGUCGACACCACGCCACACUUCUGGACACAUCUGCUACUUUGUGAGCAAGCCCAGCAGCUCUGAGCCUCCUGCUGUGUUCACAGGUGACACCUUGUUCGUGGCUGGCUGUGGGAAGUUCUGCGAAGGGACAGCAGAUGAGAUGCACAAAACCCUGCUUAAGAUCCUGGGCCAGCUCCCUCCAGACACAAGAGUGUACUGUGGCCAUGAGUAUACCAUCAACAGCCUCAAGUUUGCGCAGCACAUAGAGCCCAACAAUGCUGCCAUUCAGGAGAAGCUGGCCUGGGCCAAGGAGAAGUACAGUAUUGGGGAGCCCACAGUGCCAUCCACCGUCGUGGAGGAGUUCACCUACAACCCCGUUCAUGAGAGUGAGGGAGAAGACUGCAGCACCAUGCUGGCGAGACGGACCUGUGACCACCAUGAGGGCCAUCCGCAAAGAGAAGGACCAUUUCAAGGUGCCCCGGGGACUGAGACGGCUGUGGGGCCUGGGCUGCCCGUGGCCGCCACCUCUCUCAAGCACAUUUGGGUAUUCAGAUGUUUUAAAUAAAUUUCCUGCCAGGAGUGCAGGAAAUCCAGUCUUGGUUUAAUUUUAAAUUAAUCUCAG